AACUGCGUGUUCAUUUGUUGUAUUCAGAAUUACGUACAUAAUUGAUUUAAUAACAAACCUAAAAUUAUCUACGUUUAAUUAUUAACACAAUAACUUUUUAGAAAAUAUUACUCAUUUUAACUGGGCAUGGUAGGAAGAGUAGAUAUACAAGAAUUCAUUUUUGUAUUGUAAACCACGUUUGACAAAUCGAUUGUUUGCUACAGUUCUUUUCAUUCGUAAUCUUGUAAAAAAUUGACUAGUGGUAAUAAGUUCUUAAGGGGGUCAUCCCAUGUGAUGGGCUCAAAAAAUCGAUUUUUUUUUUUUUAUAAAUUGCUUUCUUAACAUGUCUAGAAUACGGUAGUAAAGUGAUUUUUGAAAAUUUGAAGUCGUUUUAAAGAUACAGCAGGUAGAAGAAAGAGCUGUUCGGAGCGCUAUGUUGGCAGUUGGGGUCCGGGCCUAUUGUGUACCGUCGAUUUUAUACCUGGCCCCCCUUUUAUACAUAUAUACAUUUAUACAAGCUUAGACAAGUUUCUGCAGGCUUAAACAGAAAUUUCUAUUUGAUUGGACUUUUGCUCCUAAGCAUCUUCAUUCUGGCCCCAAGAUUGUUGAAAUUGCUAGCUACUUAUCAGUUAUCAUCUUUAAUGAAGGUUUUGAAGGUGUUUUAAAAGUAAUGUCGGUUAUGGGAUGCCCCAUUGGCCGCGAAGCCCAUACGUAUGUUGAGAAACGUGAUGAAAAGCGAAUCUCACGUUCUCAACGACGCGUAAGUGAUGUCGUUAAACAAGCCAGGAUUGACUCAAGAGCUGAACAAUCUGCUUUAAAAGAGUUUCAAGAGGAAGAGGAAGGAAUACUCUAUGGACCAGGCAUCGCCGAUUGAGAUAAGCCAAUCAGCCGGAAUCGUGGAGGAAGUGCGAGCUCAUUUUUUCGAGGCGGAGGUGUUCAGAAYGCUGUAACUCAAGUUCUACACAAUAUUUUUAGCUUAAAAUUUAUAUUUAUACUGUCGAAAUAUAGGUUAAUAAAUGAUAACAAACUUAAAGCUCUAUUUAUUUACUGGUCGUAGAAAAAAAAUCCUAAAAAAUCCCUAAAAAACAGGCCGUCACAUGGGAUGACCCCCUUAAACGAAUUUAUUCUUGUAUAAAAUACAUCUGUGCUUUUUAUAAUAUUUUAAUUAUAAAAUGUACAAAAUAAACUGACAAAUAUCAAAGAGUAUUUAUCAAAAUGUUUUGUGUAAUUUUCUAUCUUAGCAGUGAGUCAAAUUAUCGUUUAUUUUUCGAACGAACUCAUACCUCUGCCAGAUAAAAUUCAUUUUAUUUUACUAAUACAUAUUUUUCUCCUAAAACUUAGUCGAAAAGACAUUUUUUAUUUACAAAAAUAUCUUUUCCUAAAGUUUUUCCAGAAAAUCAACAAAUGAUUAUUCAUUCAACUUGGCUAGAUGUUUAUAAAAAAAA